rnacentral:rRNA from 1 species
UACGAAGGGUGCAAGCGUUAGUCGGAAUUACUGGGCGUAAAGCGUGCGUAGGCGGUUUCUUAAGUCUGCCGUGAAAGCCCCGGGCUCAACCUGGGAAUGGCGGUGGAUACUGGGAAGCUGGAGUGCGGUAGAGGAGGGUGGAAUUCCCGGAGUAGCGGUGAAAUGCGUAGAGAUCGGGAGGAACAUCAGUGGCGAAGGCGGCCCUCUGGACCAGCACUGACGCUGAGGCACGAAAGCGUGGGGAGCAAACAGG